rnacentral:pre_miRNA from 1 species
UGAACUCAUUCGUAUGCAGUUGGAACGUUUGCCUACGUUUACCGCUAGGGGCGCUGUUCCUACUGAAAACAAAUUAGAGUUA